CCUACGGGAGGCUGCAGUGAGGAAUAUUGGUCAAUGGACGAGAGUCUGAACCAGCCAAGUAGCGUGAAGGAUGACUGCCCUAUGGGUUGUAAACUUCUUUUAUAUGGGAAUAAAAUGUUCCACGUGUGGGAUUUUGUAUGUACCAUAUGAAUAAGGAUCGGCUAACUCCGUGCCAGCAGCCGCGGUAAUACAGAGGAUCCGAGCGUUAUCCGGAUUUAUUGGGUUUAAAGGGAGCGUAGGUGGAUUGUUAAGUCAGUUGUGAAAGUUUGCGGCUCAACCGUAAAAUUGCAGUUGAAACUGGCAGUCUUGAGUACAGUAGAGGUGGGCGGAAUGCGUGGUGUAGCGGUGAAAUGCUUAGAUAUCACGAAGAACUCCGAUUGCGAAGGCAGUUCACUGGACUGCAACUGACACUGAGGCUCGAAAGUGUGGGUAUCAAACAGGAUUAGAUACCCUAGUAGUC
rnacentral:rRNA from 1 species